rnacentral:rRNA from 1 species
AACGAACACUGGCGGCAGGCUUAACACAUGCAAGUCGAGCGAGACCUUCGGGUCUAGCGGCGGACGGGUGAGUAACGCGUGGGAACGUGCCCUUCUCUACGGAAUAGCCCCGAGAAACUGGGAGUAAUACCGUAUACGCCCUUUGGGGGAAAGAUUUAUCGGAGAAGGAUCGGCCCGCGUUGGAUUAGGUAGUUGGUGGGGUAAUGGCCCACCAAGCCGACGAUCCAUAGCUGGUUUGAGAGGAUGAUCAGCCACACUGGGACUGAGACACGGCCCAGACUCCUACGGGAGGCAGCAGUGGGGAAUCUUAGACAAUGGGGGCAACCCUGAUCUAGCCAUGCCGCGUGAGUGAUGAAGGCCUUAGGGUUGUAAAGCUCUUUCAGCUGGGAAGAUAAUGACGGUACCAGCAGAAGAAGCCCCGGCUAACUCCGUG